rnacentral:rRNA from 1 species
AACGAACGCUGGCGGCAUGCCUAACACAUGCAAGUCGAACGAGACCUUCGGGUCUAGUGGCGCACGGGUGCGUAACGCGUGGGAACCUGCCCUUAGGUUCGGAAUAACUCCCCGAAAGGGGUGCUAAUACCGGAUAAUGUCUUCGGACCAAAGAUUUAUCGCCUUUGGAUGGGCCCGCGUUGGAUUAGCUAGUUGGUAGGGUAAAAGCCUACCAAGGCGACGAUCCAUAGCUGGUCUGAGAGGAUGAUCAGCCACACUGGGACUGAGACACGGCCCAGACUCCUACGGGAGGCAGCAGUGGGGAAUAUUGGACAAUGGGCUAAAGCCUGAUCCAGCAAUGCCGCGUGAGUGAUGAAGGCCUUAGGGUUGUAAAGCUCUUUUACCCGGGAUGAUAAUGACAGUACCGGGAGAAUAAGCUCCGGCUAACUCCGUG